rnacentral:tRNA from 1 species
UCCCUGGUGGUCCAGUGGUUAAGACUCUGUGCUUCUAAUGCAGGGAGCCUGGAUUUGAUUCCUAGUCAGGGAG